UCGCUCGAUAGCCAGUUAGGGCCAGCAGGGAGCUUCGACUCGAUUAUAGACUCGAUUGCCUGUAUCUGGCAGUUCGAUUAGAUAAGAUAGCGCCAACUGGAGCGCAGGAGGAUUGGGAUUUGCCGACGCAUCACGUUUGGCGGCAGGUGAUCGCACCACAAUAUUGUUUCAGUGUACAUUUCCGUAGUUGUUAUGGCAAGAGGAAGAUAUAUAAUGUGUAGAUAUCUUGGUAGAAAAUGAUUCAUAUUUUUAAUGCCGUAAUUAUAUUCAAAUGCGCACAACAGAAGGUGAGGUGGGUGUUUUGAAGUUUGAAAUAGGAAGGGAGGGGCAACUAGAACUAUUCCUGGACAUGGGCUUUUCCAGAAAAUUGUCAAUUUUAUUGGAUCAGGAAUGAUUAAAACUAUAUUUUUUUAUAUAAAAAUAGACCAGUUUUAUUCUCGGAAAUAUUGCCCUGCAAAUUCUGAAAUAAAAAGAAAAAACACAAAAAGACUGUUUUGUAUUUAAUUAUUUCUGAUGGAAAACAUUUCAUUUGUUUCCGGUUUUUACAUCAAAUCUCCUUAGAAGGUGUAUAAAAAGAGAAGUAAAUUUCAAAAACAGAGAAAAAGUUGUCCAGUUGGCAGAAAAUUUACAAAUAAUUUGCCUUAUUAAGCAUGUAAAAUAAAAAAUGUGGUAGUUAUAAUGGAAAAUGUUUCUAUAUAUCUGAAACUACCUUAUUUUACUCUGAUAUUAGAGGCUUUUCCUUCAAAUUACUUGCCACAUUUCGCAGUUUUUCUCAAUUUUUAAUUCAUGCUGAGGCCCAACAUGACUUCAUUCUUUAACUUUUCUAUUUUUCAAACAACAAGCUUUCCUCAAAGCUUUAAAUUUUAAAUACAACUAGUACUAAGAUGCUACUACUACUAAUACUACUUACUACUAUUAUUACAAACUACUAUUACUACGUACUGAGGUAUAAAAUGCAUUGUUCAAGCCAAAAAACUUCUGAAAAUAUGAACUUUUGACAUAUUUUUCUCUACUUUUAGUUUAGUACUAAUAUAAUAGUAUAUAAUAUUAUUAAUUUUUAAAAAACUUCAACCCCUUUUUAUUGGGUUCUUGUUCUAUUUGUUAGUAUAUUAUUAGUACUUAUUGAUACUCCUUUUAGUAUUUAUUAUUAAACAAUUAUUUAUUAUUAAGAAACUCCACCGCCUAAUUUAAUAAGUUUUUCCUGCAUUUGUUACUAUAUUAUUGAGAUUCCUUUUAGUAUUUAUUUUAAAGCCCCCCAUCGCCCGAUCUACUACGCUCCAAAUGCAUUGAAAAAUUGAAUUAUUGCCGAUUCGGUUUACUUUCCGGCUGCCUUGUUAGGUGCCUCCGUCUCGGCUCCGGCACUCUUAAUUAACACACUUCCCCCCAUCUUUAGUGGGGCGGUAGGCGGUGGGGGCUCAUGAAUAACGGUACGUUUUCCUUAUUUUCUUGGCCGUGGAAAUCGAAACAGAAAUCCGCAUAUAUGUAGGUUUUCUUUCAUUUGUAACUCUUUCCCCUGCUCUUCUUUCAUUCAGUGACUGCACACGGCUUUUCCGCAGCUACUUCCUGGUCUGGUCUUCUCUUUCUCUUUCUCUUUCUCUUUCUCUAUCUCUUGGCUUCUUGCUUUGUGAUCGCGUAUCGUGUCAACUUUCUUUCUCCUGCGCGGCGGCGAGGUUCUCGCGAGGUCGCUUUUGUUGCGGUUCGAAAAUAAACGGUAAUGGCUCGGCGUUGCCAGAUGUGGCCAGGCGAAUGCAGUAUCGAAUUGCAUAAUCCGAGGUGGCGACAACCCUGGCACUAGCAUUCCAAUGCAGAUCAUAAAUAAUUACUUUUCUUUUUACCUCAUCCCAUAGCGAAUGUUACUAUUUUUUAGUUAGAGUAUCCAGUUAAUGCAAUUUUUUUUCGCCCUGCCUCUGUGCAUAUAAAUUUUCGUAAAAACGAAACCGACUUGGUGAACGUAAACAAAGAGGGGGAAAAAAUACUCGAAGAAACCCAGACAAUGGAUGCUGGGAAAGAGGCGAUCGCCCCGAAACCCACAGCCCAAAAAACGCGAUCAGAUCCGCAGUCAAUGGAACUCCUCCGGGCCACUCACUGACAGAAGGCGGCACGCGCCACAGGCGUCUGUAAUUGAUUAUCUGAUCCGGCGAGCUCCCGGUCCCAGCACAGAAACCCCAUUGCAUCACAGUGGAAUACUUAAUUUGCCUGCACAAAUGGGUGCUCUGGUGGCAUAUACUCAUCUGAACACAUAUAGGAAGUACAAGCGAUAAAGCUUGUAGCAUUUUUUAUAUAUUUUUGGAUUAAAAGCCAGGCGACGAUGAAUGAAUUCCAACCAGAGAGUCUCAGAGGGAGCUCUGAAACCAAUUCUUCUAUUACUGUUUCAUUAUUUCUUCCGUUCCAGCCAAUAUCUCUCGUACAUCUCUUAGCCACAAAGCUGCUUCAAGUUGGCAUUGAAUUGUUUUAUGGCCCGGCCCGAUCGACAAAGAAACAAAAGUAAAUCAUAAAAAAAGUGAAAUCUAUGGUUGCUGCCUCCUCGAUCGGUGGUGCUUUGUUUCUACAAUUAUAUUUUUGGCUCUUUGCGGGCCAUCUGACUUUCGGGGCAUGUUGCAAAAGGCGUGCAAUUAGGCCUGUUGCGUCGACUCAGUACUCAGUCAGCACGAAAUCGGCCAUUAACACAAUAAACUCUGACUGACAGUCUGGCUAUAGCUCUGGCUGGCUCACAAAAGAGUAUUUUUACUAAAAAACAUGAGCUGACACAAAACAGAGUAAUAACAAUAAGAAAAGUAUAAUAAGAAAGUCUUUAGAGUGAACUACACGCGAAGAAAAUGAUAUACAGACUGACUACAGGGGUGCCUCAGAAAUCGCUUCCGCUCCAAAAGUCCCAUAUUUCAUACAGCUCUGUGGCAGUCUCUACCCUAAAAUAGCCUAGAAAUUUUAAUUGUAGAGUUGUCACGGAACUUGAAUUGUGUUUCGUGCUAAACUUUUGAAUGUUUUACAAAUUACCAGAAACUAGUUAGUUAAAAAAUUAAUUAUCUCAUUAUAUUAAUGAAGAAACAACUGAAAACUGAAGGCUUUGCAGCGAUAGAACUUGAAAAGUUGUUAACCAAGCAAUUCAAUCUAAUAAGGUGGCAACCCUGAACAGAGAUUUUCGAAAACAAAGGGUUUGUGACUUUGCUAAAAUUUUUGAGCGGAAUUUCUCUUAUCCUAAAUCUAUUCAGCUAUUGAUUUGUGUUUAUAUAACUUUUUAUCAAAUUUGUACAUAUAUUAUGUAAUUAAUUUCCCGCUUAAAGUUUAGUUUUUCACCAAAAACCACUCGAAUAUCUUGCAGUGUAGCCUUAAAUGAACCGAGGAGCUGUUUUAGGGCCCACUUCGGCCUGCCAGUUAGCGAAGAGCUUUACAAAAUUCGCUUAUUUACGCUUUCUGAGCUCUGGCUUGUAAAAAGCAAGAAAAGUAACAAAAAGCAGCCAUUUCUCCGGGCAAAGUGAGGGAAGGGAAAUAAAGUGCAAGAAAGGCCAGUGCCAAGUACGGUGGUCACUUCGGGGCCUACAGGUUUCAAAAUCGCCACAAGCCCCGAUUACGCAACAGCCCUACAUGGAAUAAUUGCGAUAAAUAGAAAGAUAAACAGUUGGAGCUGAGGUAUUAUUAUUUUAAAGGUUUUUUUCCCCUUUUUUCAUUAAAAGAUAAUGGAAAUAACAAAAGAAAAUAGUACUGCUGUUUAUUAAUAAACCUCUGCCCUAUUUCUCCCAGUGGUACAACUGCUCUAUAAGCUUCUGGUUUUGUCUCAAAAAGCAAACAAAGUGCCCCAGACUGCGCCAUGAAUGGAAGCGGUGGCAGGCAGAUGCAGUGCGGCAAGAAGGUAAUCAGUGAGGCCUGUUGCUCGUGCCAGCAACAACCUGUUUCUUUCGGUGCACUUUAUUUGGGCCAUAUUGACAUGUGCCGCCAUAGUCGUCUCUCUGUCGCACCGUUAACGACAUCGCUGGCCCGGCCUGGUGUGGCGUGGCCCCAAUUCUCCAUGUUCUAGUCUUGUGAAGUAAAGGCCGCCGAGGUGGCAUUACGAAAGGCCCCCGAUAAACAGCAUUCUGAUGGCACAGAUAGCUGGCACAGAGUGUUUGCGUUUCUCAUUCAUAAUCGCUAUUCCAGUUAUGGGCCAACGCGCCACAAGAUAGUUGCAAGAUAUUUUAUAGUCAGAGAUCGACCUUGAAGUGGCUCUAUCUUUUGAGAUUAAUCCAUCAAAGAGAAAGCACACCUGUAACUUUUCCGCUGGCGAAUUAAUGAAAAUUAACACACAAUUAGUUGAUAGUACUGGUGUCUGUGCCCUGUGGCCCAUUUGGAGGCUUUAGUGACGCAUUAUGGACGACAUCCCACUGAUACCGCGAGCGAGGGCCGCCAGCCGAAAAUAAUCAAUAGGCCUUUGUGCUGGACUGCCACUAUUUUCCUUCAGUAAACCAAUAGAGGUUCUAUUAUAGAACUGAUAAGCCUGGAA